rnacentral:rRNA from 1 species
UCCUGGCUCAGGAUGAACGCUGGCGGCGUGCUUAACACAUGCAAGUCGAACGAAGCAGCUUCUGCUGCAAGAGAGUUGACUUAGUGGCGGACGGGUGAGUAACGCGUGGGUAACCUGCCUCAUACAGGGGGAUAACAGUUGGAAACGACUGCUAAGACCGCAUAACCCGCUAGUGUCGCAUGACACGGACGGAAAAUAUUUAUAGGUAUGAGAUGGGCCCGCGUCUGAUUAGCUAGUUGGUAAGGUAACGGCUUACCAAGGCGACGAUCAGUAGCCGACUUGAGAGAGUGAUCGGCCACAUUGGGACUGAGACACGGCCCAAACUCCUACGGGAGGCAGCAGUGGGGAAUAUUGGACAAUGGGGGAAACCCUGAUCCAGCCGACGCCGCGUGAGUGAAGAAGUAUUUCGGUAUGUAAAGCUCUAUCAGCAGGGAAGAUAAUGACAGUACCUGACUAAGAAGCCCCGGCUAACUACGUGCCAGCCGCCGC